rnacentral:rRNA from 1 species
CACGUAGGGCGCAAGCGUUGUCCGGAAUUAUUGGGCGUAAAGAGCUCGUAGGCGGUCUGUUACGUCUGCUGUGAAAACCCGGGGCUUAACCCUGGGCUUGCAGUGGAUACGGGCAGACUAGAGGCAGGUAGGGGAGAAUGGAAUUCCCGGUGUAGCGGUGAAAUGCGCAGAUAUCGGGAGGAACACCUGCGGCGAAGGCGGGUUGCUGGGCCGACACUGACGCUGAUGCGCGAAAGCCAGGGGAGCGAACGGG